rnacentral:lncRNA from 1 species
AAUUCCGCCCGAUUCCCAUAUAUUCGUGUGUUAUAGCCCAUGCCUUCCUAGUGGGUUCUGGCCCCCUGGACCCCGAUCGCCUAAAAUAUUUCCGGGCUAUCAAAUACGACCUAAGGAACCAUAGUCACUGCCCCUCCAUGACCGUUCCUCGUUUUUUGCAUUUUAUGGUCAAAAAAGUAGAAUUGCGCCCAAUUCCCAUAUAUUCGCCACGCCUUCCGAGUGGGUCCUUGUCACCCGGACCCCGAUCGCCUAAAAUUAAUCCGAGCAAUCAAAUACGACCUAAGGAACCAUAGUCACCGCCCAGCCGUGGCCGUUCCUCGUUGUUUUGCAUUUACGGCAAAAAAACUAGAAUUUCGCCCGAUUUCCAAAUUUCCGUGUUCUAUAGCCCAUGCCUUUCGAGUGGGUCCGAGCCCCCGGACCCCGAUUGCCUAACAUUU